GACGAACGCUGGCGGCGUGCUUAACACAUGCAAGUCGAACGCUGAAGCUCAGCUUUUGUUGGGUGGAUGAGUGGCGAACGGGUGAGUAACACGUGAGUAACCUGCCUCCUUCUUUGGGAUAACGCCCGGAAACGGGUGCUAAUACUGGAUAUUCACUGGUCUUCGCAUGGGGGCUGGUGGAAAGGGGUUUUCUGGUGGGGGAUGCGCUCGCGGCCUAUCAGCUUGUUGGUGGGGUGAUGGCCUACCACGGCUUUGACGGGUAGCCGGCCUGAGAGGGUGACCGGUCACAUUGGGACUGCGAUACGGCCCCGACUCGUACGGGAGGCAGCAGUGGGGAAUAUUGCGCAAGGGGCGCGAGCCUGAUGCAGCUGCGCCGCGUGAGGGAUGGAGGCCUUCGGGUUGUGAACCUCUUUCGCUCAUGGUCAAGCCGAAACAAUGGUUGUGGUGAGGGUAGUGGGUAAAGAAGCGCCGGCUAACUACGUG
rnacentral:rRNA from 1 species